GAGACUCCAUAUUAGACUUGCGUUCCAGAUACCGCUCUAAUCUGGACUUAGCCUACCUAAAUAGUCCUUCUGUGUUACCAGGUUUGGACCACUUUAUCCUGUUUGCCAAAAUGUAUACCUGUUUAAAGACCUCUGUGCGUGCAUGGCGUCCUGGUCCCUCUGUAUUGAAAGCGAAUAUUUGUUUCCUGCAUCUGUGUUGGGGGUUCUACCGCCUACCAAGAAUGAGCCACCUUUGGGGAAGCAGGGAAAGAAUUAUGAUAGAAUUGGCAUCCUGCUUUGAAAAAUGUAGUCUUUUGUUUAUUUGCUAGCAGACGUUGUAGCACUGACUACAUCUAUGGGUCUAACAAUGGGACCCGUUGAACAAUGGAGCUGUCAAACUAGCUUAAUGCAUGUCUGGGUUUUUUGUUUUGUUUUUUUUUUUUUUCUUUCUCAACACCCUUUUUAUCUCCUUUAAUCUUGUUUGUAUAGACUCUACCAAAUGGAGAGCUUUUAGGACUGCUUGCUUGUGGUUUCAUGCUUUUAAAAAAUUUAAUAUCUGCCGUUCAUAGAGCUUUUUGCAUUUUGCAGCUAUGUUGGUUGGAUUAAGUUAGAGAUUUAUUGCUUACCUCUCUGUUAACUACAGAAAGAAACUCAUUGAUUGAGACUGCUUGUAAUACCAUUAUCAUUCUGGCAAAUACCUGGUUAUCAGACAUGCCUCUACAGUAUUUAAUUCUUGAGGAUUUAAAAUUUGCCUAUUCGGUGGACUUACAUAGCAUGAAAGAGAAGUUAAAAGAAUAUUUCUAAUGUUUAAGUAAAUUAUAAUUUCUAGUCUCUUCCUCCACUUCUGGAAUCCGGGUAGAUAAAUAGUUUAGAAAUUCAAGGACAAGUGAGAACUUUUGCCCUUAUAAUUUUGGUCACAAACUAUCUUUAUAUAUAUAGCCUGUUAAAUUGUUGAGUUAAAGGUCUCUAUGGAAUAUAUUGAUUUUUGAUAUAUGAUUAUGUGCUUAUAAGAUGCAUUUCUGUGCAAGGCAAGUAUUCCUCACCUCUGCAAAAAUCUUUCGUUUCAUAACAUAAGUACUGGUUUCUAAGGUGCAAACAGUGAGACUGAGACUUUAAAUAAAAAGAGAAAAAUGGAAAAAUCUGUUUCAAACUUCUCCGAUAUUAGAAACAUUUUUGUCCUCACAUUCGAUGUCAAAGAACUGAUCCUAGAAUAUUAAAUCUACAUGCAAAUCAGCUGAUCUACAUGAAAAUCAUGUCACUAAGGGGGCUUUCCGUAAAGAAUGUAUCUUUUCUAAUAGUCUAGUGUUUUGCUUUAAUUAGUUGUUUGUGCCCGAGCAGUCUAUUGAAAAAUAUUAGUAAAUGUAUAAAGAUCAAGGAUUUUAACUUUUAAAAACAGAAAGGAAAUCAUUUGAAAGGGCAAAUUUAAAAAAAUGCAUUUAUAUAUUUUGUUACAAAUAUUGCUUCUUGGAUUACAUUGUGGUUCAAAUUAGUGAUAUCCCUGGCAAACAAGGAACAAAUAUAUUUCUUAUGAAAACAGUUAGGAAACAUUAACCAUUUUUUAAGCGUUUGCACGUGCCCUUCAAUUUUUUUAAGUUAAAAUGUUGGCGUUAAUUCAGAGUUAUGAAAAUGAAUGGUUCCAGCUCAAUACAUUGCCUGCUCAAACAUAGAUUUUUGUACUGACAAUAUUUUCAGAGGCUGGCUGGACCCAAAACAUAUCUGUAGGAUAAUAAUAUUUUUAAAGUUAUCCAUUGUGAGCAGUGUGGAUUUUAUGAUUAUGUUCUCUUACUUCCAGAGGGAUCUGAACUGCUCAUUCCAUUGGGUAUGCCAAUAAUUGCUUUUAGGAUGAGCUCAUAAAAGGUAAUUGGUGAAGCUUUAUAUCUGAAGCUGGCCCACUGCUGCCAGCACACCUAGAUUCUGCUUUCCUGGGAAAUUUUUAUUUUAAAACAAAGGUCACAAAGCAAUGUGUGUGUGUGUGUGUGUGUGUGUGUGUGUGUGGUUUGGGGAAAAAGUAGUGUCCUGUGCUCCCCAGCUGCUUGUCAGUAGCAUGCCGAAAUAAAUAUCUUGGAAACCUCCAUGUUGAAUUUUUGACUAAAUUAUCAUCAUUUACCCAUGCUCUAUUCACUUUAAUUCCUGGGUGAUCAUAUCAGGUUCAAGGUUAAGGGAAAUCCCUUCCCAUCUGUGCUUUGAUCCACUACGAGCGUUCAGAAUUCCGGACACCCUCCACCCCCCUUUCCAGUGUCCGCCACGCAGCUAUCUUUUCCUCCAGGCUGAUGGGGAAGGAGGAGGUGGCUGAAAGUUGGCAAACUUGACUCCAUGUCUUUCCACAACUGCAACAAGAUAUGUAAUCUGUAUCCUGCCAUCAGCCUCUACGGGGGAAUGAUCCCCUUCUAGAAUGACCUAAACAAAUGUCAAAAGAAAUUUGAAUUCUAAGCCCAGACUUGGAGAAAGGGACUCACAAGAGGGUCAAAGUGGGAAGAUGGCUUCUUUCAGUAGAGUUGCAGUUGCACCCCUUGUCCCCUCACACACGAGCCUCGGGGAUGCUCAGAAAUACAGGGAUGUGUCCAGCAGACCCCAGGCUUCGAUCUGUUAACUUCAACAUAUCAAUUAGUCCUUUAUGUGUGAACAUGAAACCUCACAGUUUUUCUUUCUAUAAAUAUGAGUGUAUACACUUAUGAAAUAUCCCCACAGGGCCAAAAAAAAAAAACAAAGAAAGGCAUUUGAUUAAUAUUCAUAUCUAGAACUUGAGUGCAAGAGCAGACUGUGCUGGAAUACCUAGGAAGUCAUUCAAAGGGGGAAUCAAUACUAAUUAUUGUAAUCAGGGCGGUUAAUUAGGUGAAAAUGUAGCUGAUGGAUAGUUCCUUGCUCGCAGUCCUAGAAACACCUAGGGUGAUGAAAAGAAGGUAAAAUACAAAAGGAAGAGUGUCACAGGGGAAUGACGGCUCCGUUUUACGGGGUCAGAGCCUGUCGAUGAAAGACGUACCUUGAUUUGCUGUAAUUGUGGUUGCGAGGAAACUAAGAAACAAGCAACUUUGUCGCUGGCGUAGAGCUUUCUGGAAAAGUCAUCAGCAGAAUGCAGUUCGUUAGGAGCAUCUCCACGGCCUUUAUCUGCACGUUUUCAGACAGAAACACGUGUAUUCCACUCAGUUGCGAUGACAUCUUAGAUCAUCUGGACGAGCCUUCAUUGCAUUUCUUUCUACCUUUUGGUAAUUCCUGGGGGAUUUGUGGGGGCAGGGAAGUUCUCCUUUCAUCAAACUAUUGAUUGCUUCUCUCUUGGUGAUUACUGGCUUUGGGAAUUUUUCUAACUUCGCAGUGACUUUUAUUCUGUAGGGAAGAUGAGGCAGUGGUUUGGGGAGAGGAUUAAAAUCUGUGGCAUUUCCCUGAACUGACAUGGGGAAGAGACAGAGCGUGUGUGUGUGUGUGUGUGUGUGUUUGAACCUCUACUCAACUCAGAGAUGUGCUGGUUCACCCUGAUUUGGGAUGAGGCACCCUUUGUUCCCACAUGCAGCCUUCUGCGUCAUGCGAUGUCAUUAGGGAUUGUUAUGUGCAGAUAUGUUGAUCUGAUUCCCAGCUUUCUUCUGCUGAGGACAGAUCCCAGGGCAUUUUCUUGUAUGUCAAGACCACAUGGCUCGCAGGGAAUGGCAUCUGUGGGGAGAGGGUGACAGCAGCCCAGAGUGCCAUGUCUUACCAGGGCAGCUCAGCUGCCACCUCCUCCCCAUCCGUGCCGACCCUCCUGUGAUUGGCUGCCUGCGGUGGAGAUACGUCACUGCCGUUUAUGAAGCAGGGCUUGCCAGCAUGCCCUUGGAGAAAAACAAAAACCAGAAUUUUCCUGCAUGACCAUUUGGUUCAGCCAACUUUGUCAUGGACAAGAAGAGCGUCAGGUUGGAAGUUAUAAGGCUGAUCCACCUCUAGUAUCAGUGGCUUUUUGAAUCCCCAUCUGGAGAAAGGUUGCAGCUGCGAUUGGUAAAAAAAAAGCUGGGUGGAAACUUGUGGGCGGCAUUGCCAGCUUCCGGCUUGUGUGUGAAGUGACUUGCAGGGGUGCCGAGAACCUGGUGCCGCCCUCCUGAAAAGCUGCCCAUCUCAGUGAUCCAGGGCUGCAGGGGCCCCUGCCACACUGUGGUCGUUGUCAUGCCUUUCUUUUUGACCAUCUUGAUCUGGGACCCCAGUUCUCUUUCGGGUUCUGUGAGAUAGCUUCCCCCUUUGUUCAGAGAUGAUUUAGAAAGCAUCUCUGUAAGUGAAAACGCACUGAGUUGGUGAUGGGUGGCACGAAUUCCCGGUGGCGGCAGUUAGGAUGCAUUUUGACUUUCUCUUCAGAAACUGACUUGAUGAAAAAGGGGCGGAGCCCGCAUCCCCAGCCCUGGGAUGCUUGGUGCCUGCCCUCCUACCCUUCGUCCCCCCUCUGGGCUGAGCUGCUGGACUUAGAAAUAUCAGUGAAAACUUUACUGCUGCGUGAACAAUAGGAUCAGGACCGGCUUUCUCUUUUCCUUCCCAUAUGCCCGUCCCAGAUUUAAACAGAGAUCAUGGGGUGCAAGUGUCAUGAUUGGCAGCAAGGAAUAAAUCAAAGGUUUACUGAUAAUCAGCUCUGUACCUGGCACUACACUCGGUGAUCUCUUUUAUGGAACUGAAUCCUCACAGAUAUCCAAGAGUUCGUGGCAGUUAUAUUAUUCCCAUUUCAAAGAUGAAAAAACUGAGUCUGACAGAGGGAAAAUAAUGGGCCCCCAGACCCACAGCUCAGGGUAGAUGAGAUCCUUAGUCAGGACUCAAGCAAGCUCCUUCCUUGGCCACCGUGAAAGGAUAAAUAUUGGAGAUUUGAUGCUUGAACGCGUUGUAUUUCCCCCGGUGCUGAAUUUCCGCGGUGCACUUUGAUUUGUAUGUGUCGUCUGGUUUUGUACUGAGUAGGUGGUGCAGUGAAAAAGGGGAAAAACCACACUUCUUUUUGCUUCUAACAACUCCCACUUGGAUCCAUCUUGGUUUCCUUUAUAGUCCAUGAGGUCUUUGAAUCAAAGCACCUGUGCUUCACUUUUCUCAGCUUCUAUCUGUAUAAUGGGAACAGAUUUGGAAGGGAGAAUAGACAAAUUUGAAGCAUGAUGAAACCGAAAUGUGAGUUUUUAUCUGCAUAAGGGGUCAAGGUUUGUCAUACUGUAAUCAGAACCAACCAAGCAACACAUACACUAUACAGGACAUAGUCUCAGUUGUUAAGAAGCUGCAUGAAACAGAGAGGGAACAGAAUGGCUAAGACAGUAUCAAGUGGUGUAUAAUACAGGGGCGGGGCUUGAAGGAUGGGUGAGGGAGCGGGAGAGGAACGUGGUCGUUAGAACAGCCUGGUUUUGUCUUUGCUAUUAAAGCAAAUUUGCACAACAUCCUUAAGUGGUUCCCUUUCUUCCUCGGACCAUCAGGUCGCUCACAUCGCUGCUUCUCCCUCACUUGGCGGUAUUCCUGUGAACGAGUGCAAGUGUAGCCAGUAGCCUGUACCAGAGAGUAUUGAGAGGCUAAGCGAUUGGUAACAAAGGUUUACCCUCAGCUGCAGAGAUGAGACAAGAUAAUGCAUUUCCACUUAGCUUGUGUAGAUAGCUACACCAGUGUUCAUGAAGAAUUUUUUUCCCCCCUAAGGGAUUUCAUGGGAAUUAGCAUCAAAAGCCAAGUUAAAGAAAAAUCAGCUGGGAUUUUCAAAAACCUCUAUCAUGGGCUAAAAAUAGUUAAGAGAUUUGAACCAUAUUAUAGGGGAAAAAAAAUUUCCUGUGCUCAAAACCUUAAUGUAUUUUCAACCUACGUGUCACUUAAUAGCUUGGUUAUGUAAUUGCUGUAGUAAUAAUUAGGUUAACUAACACAGGGCACCUCUUAUCUGUGGGAUCACGGUAGAUUUUGAUUUUGUAGCCAUCUACCAGGAAAUGAUGGCCUGGCACAUGACAAAGGUCUAGCUGACGAAUCCGAAAAUUAAAUGACAUGGUCCCAGUGUCAGGCUGUUCUGAUGGAAUCACAGGCAGAAUCCAGCACGUCUGGUUCUUAAAUCUUCAUCAUCCUUUUCACUCCUCUGGCAAAAGCAGCAUUUGCCUUAAAGAGUCUGAUCAUCUGCAGGUACCAUUAUCAGAUGACUUCUGAUCCUUGGAAGGGAGAGCUCUUUGUUGGGGGGGGGGGUGUCCUGAGAUCAUUGUGGGUAAAGCAGAUUCACGUGUUUUGUUCUACAGGCAUCCGAGCGUUUGGUCUCAUUAAGGUUUCCUCUUCUACAAGAUGUAUUUGUUCAGAAAAAGGAGGAACAUUCAAGCCAGUGGGGUUCUCAAGUCCAGAUUUUGAUUCUCACCAAGAGGGGUCUCAGGCACCACCUCCCCCCGCAAGGCUUAAAACUCCCUUUCUCUUCCACCCCCACCUGUUGCUGCUUUCUGUCUGGACCUAAUGUUAUGCCAACGGCUGUGGCCACCCAGCUGUUACCACUCAGCUGUUGGGGUUUGUCAGGCAGUAGUUUCUCCUUUUCAAAUUUACAGCACGCGGCAGUAAGAUGAGACCCUCUGGCCAGUUGGGGACAACAGGAUGGGGGGUGGGGGUGUCUUAUGGCACAUUCCCAGGGAACUGAAAACCCCAUUCGGAUAGGUAUGCAUUUUGUUCCCGCCGCCAGGCUGGCACCAGACGAGGGGACCUGAUACAGCUGGACAAAUCUCGGCAUCUUCAAGGGGCCACGGGGACCUUCCCUGAGAGGUGUUUUUUGGUUUGUUUUUUUUCUGAGUGCCUUCGUGUACACAUCCCCAGGCCAGCUUUUUUUUUUUUUUUUUCCUCCUUCCACCCUUUCUUCAGUCUUCUCCUUCCCAAUUUUCAUACCUUAUUGAUUCAUUUCAUGGGACAGAGUCUUCCCUCCCCCUCUCCCACCCCCGGAAGGACUCGCCCAGAGGCAGCUGUUCCCAGUGGGGACACCAGCCCUUGGUCAAGGCAAACUUGAGUUCCCUGACAGAUGAGCCACCAGCUACCUCUCCACUCAUGUGGGCACCUGCCUCCGCAGACACGCAGCUGUGGAGGAAAGCUUCUGGCAUUGUCUGGCUUCCGUUUGAGAGAGAAAGAGGGAGCGAGAGAGAGAAGGCCGAGUGAGGGACAGUCAGGAAGGAGGCAGCGGUGUCAUGGAGAAAGGAAGCAAAGGCAAAGCCAAGUCCGAGAGGGAAGCCAUGAGCUGGUUGGGCUCUGGGUCCGACAGGCCCACACUUUUAACAUUUCAUCCCCUUGGGAUGGAAGCUUCUGGAAACUCUAGAGGGGCGCCUCCUUUCCGAGCUCGAAGGUAUGUAUGCAAAGAACCCAUCUUCCCUUAGAGGGUCUCUUCAGAAGGAAGAGAAAUUCACCAUCUUUGCCUUUUUGCGCUAUUGAAAAUAAAUUCAGAAAAAC
rnacentral:lncRNA from 1 species